ACCCUUGGGCUAGUGAGUGGCCCUCCAUCUCCAUGGGCUGCAAGAUUGUCACAACUAAGACAGUCUCCCAGAAUAGGGUAGCUGUGCCGAAUGGCGCUUGCGGACCUAAAACUUGCAGGGGGUCCCCGACUGAACCGUAGCAACACUUUGAUCGGCUGCAGAGGGAGUGCACAGCUCCCACUGUGUGCACUCAACACGCACUUCCCUUCCCGUGCCCGUGUUUUAUGUGUAUGUCCCUUUAGGAACAUCAGUAGGAAAAAAACCCCUAUGCAGACAAAAACCAGCGGAAUCUGGUAACCCUGCACAUGGGCUCACAGGCCACACACAAAGCCCUGAAGGGCCGCAGGUUGCCCAUUAUUGGGCCACAAUAUCAACGAAUGAGACGCUUGCUGGAUUACUCUGAGCCGCUGCCUUCUUCCUUGUGCCGAGGGUCAUUGACUAUGGGAAGGGGAGAGGGAUACAUCCCCAGCUGCGCAUCCAGGAGCUGCGGAGACCUGCGAAUCGGUGUGGGAACAGCUGGGUGGCAGAGCAUUGGAAGAAGUUCCCAUUGCCGGAGCAGUCACUGGCAGUGUAUUGUUUUGUCUCCUCUUUCAAUAGAGGACCACCCGAUCAUUAGGUUCACGCUGCUCAAGGGGAUCCAGCUGCUGCUACCUCAGCCUCGGGAGGAAGGGGAGUCUUCCGCAGAGCAAAAGUCUUCAUCUGGAAGCCUCAUCUGGAAAAAGCCCCUGUCAGGCAUCUGCGUGACCCAACAGAUCGGGCAACAGCUUCUGGAGGUUCCUAAAAAGUCACCCUAAUCCACCCCCGUGUUUGUGUGAGAGCAGCGGACACUCCCUCUCCCCCGGCAGGCUGGCUCUGAAGGUGCGGCAGGGAUGCAGAGACAGCAGGAAGCCCCGUGCUUGGACGUUGCAAUGGGUGAAAAGUUCUUGAGAUUCAAGCAAAUCGGGCAGCACGCACAAAGUAACUUUCUGCUCCGCAGAGAAUAAAAAGUUCUGUUCACUAGACGUAUCCUAGUGCCCUUCUGUCUGCCUCUCUCCACCAAUAGCAGGGCAGCCUCCUGUGCCUUCAGGCCAACCACACCACAUGGGGCUGUGAAUCCCAGCUCCUGUUCUCACUCUUCCCCUUUGGAGAUGCUAGAGACCUUCUGGGCCUAAAACAUUUACACCAGAGGGGUGGGAGGAAGUUACAGCCUGGGGGCCAAACUGGCCAGUUGGACCUUUUAAUCCAGCCCUUGAGAUCCAUCCAGAGCACGGGGGCAGGUGCUUGCCUUGCUGCACAUGCAGCGUCUGUGCAGCUCCCAGAAGCAGAGGCAGCCAGGGGACUCCACACAAUUCCCAUUCCUGAAAUGCCAGCCCUACAGCUCCCAUUGGCCAGGAAUGGCAGCCAAUGGGAGCUGUGGGGGCGGUGCCU